rnacentral:rRNA from 1 species
GAGUUUGAUCUUGGCUCAGAGUGAACGCUGGCGGCAGGCCUAACACAUGCAAGUCGAACGGCAGCGCAGCAGUAGCAAUACUGUGGGCGGCGAGUGGCGGACGGGUGAGGAAUACAUCGGAAUCUACCUUGUCGUGGGGGAUAACGUAGGGAAACUUACGCUAAUACCGCAUACGACCUACGGGUGAAAGCGGCGGACCGCAAGGCGUCGCGCGAUUGGAUGAGCCGAUGUCCGAUUAGCUAGUUGGCGGGGUAAGAGCCCACCAAGGCGACGAUCGGUAGCUGGUCUGAGAGGAUGAUCAGCCACACUGGAACUGAGACACGGUCCAGACUCCUACGGGAGGCAGCAGUGGGGAAUAUUGGACAAUGGGCGCAAGCCUGAUCCAGCCAUGCCGCGUGUGUGAAGAAGGCC